AGCUUGCUGCUUCGCUGACGAGUGGCGGACGGGUGAGUAAUGUCUGGGAAACUGCCUGAUGGAGGGGGAUAACUACUGGAAACGGUAGCUAAUACCGCAUAACGUCGCAAGACCAAAGAGGGGGACCUUCGGGCCUCUUGCCAUCGGAUGUGCCCAGAUGGGAUUAGCUAGUAGGUGGGGUAACGGCUCACCUAGGCGACGAUCCCUAGCUGGUCUGAGAGGAUGACCAGCCACACUGGAACUGAGACACGGUCCAGACUCCUACGGGAGGCAGCAGUGGGGAAUAUUGCACAAUGGGCGCAAGCCUGAUGCAGCCAUGC
rnacentral:rRNA from 1 species